GUAGUUAGCCGGGGCUUCCUCACAGAUUACCGUCACUUCCUUCGUCAUCUGCGACAGAGGUUUACAAUCCGAAAACCUUCUUCCCUCACGCGGCGUUGCUGGGUCAGGCUUUCGCCCAUUGCCCAAUAUUCCCCACUGCUGCCUCCCGUAGGAGUCUGGACCGUGUCUCAGUUCCAGUGUGGCCGUUCAGCCUCUCAGCUCGGCUACCCAUCGCUGACUAGGUGGGCCAUUACCCCGCCUACUAUCUAAUGGGACGCGAACCCCUCCUAAAGCGGAUUGCUCCUUUGACCUCAUCCUGAUGCCAGGUCGUGGUCUUAUGCGGUAUUAGCAACGAUUUCUCGCUGUUAUCCCCCUCUUUAGGUUAGGUUGUUCACGCGUUACUCACCCGUCCGCCACUAAGAUAUUUCGACGAAUCUCUAUAUCUCCGUUCGACUUGCAUGUGUUAGGCACGCCGCCAGCGUUCGUCCUGAGCCAGUGACUACAACUCGACGUACGUAGACGGCGGUCGUCGACGACGGCGACAG
rnacentral:rRNA from 1 species